rnacentral:rRNA from 1 species
UACGUGAGGGUGCGAGCGUUGUCCGGAAUUAUUGGGCGUAAAGAGCUUGUUAGGUGGUUUGUCGCGUUGUUCGUGAAAUCUCACGGCUUAACUGUGAGCGUGCGGGCGAUACGGGCAGACGUAGAGUACUGCAGGGGAGACUGGAAUUCCUGGUGUAGCGGUGGAAUGCGCAGAUAUCAGGAGGAACACCGGUGGCGAAGGCGGGUCUCUGGGCAGUAACUGACGCUGGAGAAGCGAAAGCGUGGGGAGCGAACAGG